AUGGCAGCACGGUGCAGAGCCACCCAGUGGCGACCGUCCGCCGCGACGAGGACGCCCCGCCCCAUUCUUCGCCGCCGCUCCCCGACAAUCCUCCGAAAAGGAAUCGGGAACCCGAACAAGCCGUUUCUGUCCUUUAUAGGAGAAGAAGCAGAAGCAGGAGCAGGUGCCGAGCCUCCCCGAGGGCGCCCUCGUCGAGAUCCUUUCCCGAGUGCCCUACAGCUCCCUCUGCCUCCUAUAACUAAAGAGUGGAUUGUGCUGCCUCCUGUAGUAUUUCCAAGUCAUGAUAAAGUGUGGAGCUACCCGUUGAAAGUCACACCGUUCGUUCACUUAGGUUUCGACGCUGCUGUUCCGUCCCACUUUGUGGUGUUUGCAUCCCCUGGCAAUGUUGAUUAUGAUUCUGAAGAAGUGGGUAUCUACUCAUCAGAAACCGGACAAUGGACUUACAUGCAGAGUAAGUGGGUUUCCGUAGAUUAUGUGGAUCACGCUAGAUCCGCACGUGUCUUCCUCAAUGGCACCAUGCAUUUGAUUACCCUUUGUAAAUCAAUAUUCACAGUCGAUGUAGAGGGGAAAGUUUGGAGUGAGAUUCAAAUGCCAAAUGACAUUAGCUCUGAUAUUAAUGACAUGAGCUCUGAUUGA
rnacentral:rRNA from 1 species